CUUAAGCCCAAGUGACGGUCCUGUAGCCUUCCUGCUGCUGCCAGUCUCAUAGGCUGGGUUUGAGAAAAACUGUGAAAAAACUUUUUUGCUGUGUUGGGAAGCAGAUGGGUUUGGUUCCAAGGGGCAGCGCAAGGAUUUCAGGCGCUGCCCCAGGCUGGAAGCCUGUCUCACUGUCUAGCUGGGAAAAAAGAGAUUUAUGUUCCAUGGAAUCCUUUGCAAACUGCAACUGUUAGUUGGCUCUUGCUGUAAUUGAUGGACACUGCCAGUUGCUUAGACAGAUGGGAAUUAAUACUGGUGUUCCCAUUAGAACUCGCCAUCACAGUCACGUUGGCUUUGGUCUCCUGCAGUGGGUUGAUGUGUGCAAGAGAGUACGCGAGGAAGGAGCGAGCAUGGCUCCUGCCUGCAGCACUUGCCUUCCAGGGUACUGGAGCCAUCCAUCCAGCACAGAGCAGAUGAGCUACUUGCCAGCAGCUUGCAAAACACAUGGCUUUGAGAUGGUGAGGAAAAUGCUUCUUUGCUGGAUGCUGAGAGAUUGCAGUGAGUAGGACUCUGAUCCGCAGAGGUGUCUGUGAGCUGUAGAUACAGCUUCUGUGGAUUGGAGAUGCACUGGAGCAGCUGAUGUUGAGAACUCUAUCAAGGAACUGCAAAAGCACUUGGUAAUUCAGCCUCAAAACCUAGCAUGAGACAGCUUUUUGAACAUAUAUGUACAUUUGUAAACCUGCAUUUUCUAUGUAUUAAAACAUCUUUGUUUUCUUCUGAAAGCUGUGUAGAGCAGCUGAGCACUCUAUGUGCUGCUUUCCACACUGAGUUUUUCCUGCAGUGCCUUCUGAACUCUUGUUGGCAUGAGGGUAGGCCGGAGUAACAUCUACAGCCCAUGACAGCAGCAAAAUGAGGCUAACAAAUAUCCUUCUGAGGAUGCAGCG
rnacentral:lncRNA from 1 species